rnacentral:rRNA from 1 species
GACGAACGCUGGCGGCGUGCUUAACACAUGCAAGUCGAACGGAAAGGCCCUGCUUUUGUGGGGUGCUCGAGUGGCGAACGGGUGAGUAACACGUGAGUAACCUGCCCUUGACUUUGGGAUAACUUCAGGAAACUGGGGCUAAUACCGGAUAGGAGCUCCUGCUGCAUGGUGGGGGUUGGAAAGUUUCGGCGGUUGGGGAUGGACUCGCGGCUUAUCAGCUUGUUGGUGGGAUAGUGGCUUACCAAGGCUUUGACGGGUAGCCGGCCUGAGAGGGUGACCGGCCACAUUGGGCCUGCGAUACGGCCCAGACUCCUACGGGAGGCAGCAGUGGGGAAUAUUGCACAAUGGGCGGAAGCCUGAUGAAGCAACGCCGCGGGCGGGAUGACGGCCUUCGGGUUGUAAACCGCUUUCGCCUGUGACGAAGCGUGAGUGACGGUAAUGGGUAAAGAAGCACCGGCUAACUACGUG